AUUCAGAUGACGAGUCACAAAUAGGACGAAACGCAUGUACUGGAU
rfam:Schistosoma margrebowiei strain Zambia genome assembly, scaffold: SMRZ_contig0010837